GAAUUAUGCUGUGGAAGACGAGUGUUUUUCCACCGUUACCCUCGAUAACUAAUGCUGGUCACGUUUCGUUUAGUAAAUUUGUUGCUUUUUGCAGGCUGUGGCAUUUUUAUGUGGCUUAAUUCAUAAUGGAAUUUCCUCCUGGAAGCAGCCUGGAGAGAGCAACAUUUGGAAUUUUAUGAAGGAGGACGAGAGAUGGUGGCUUUUGCCCACCAUCCUGCUACUUUUCAAGGCAGUUCAAGCUCGAUUUGUUGAUUGGCAUAUAGCAAAUUUAGAAGUCAGAGAUUUUUCUCUCUUCAGCCCUGACCCCGAUACGUUUUGGGCUUACGAAUCCAUUUCUUGACGCAAAACUGUUUCGGGGAGGACAUGGACCGGAUUUUGCAGCAUCUGUGCGGUAAAUAUGGUGUCGAGUACAUACAUCUCAAAAUACCAUAGGAUUUUGAAUCAGAGUUAUUACAGUGUUGUUAUUACCAUGUACAUAAAUGUACCCAUUUGUGCAUAGUUCUUUAGAGAAAAAAUAUGAUUGUGUGAAUAUAAUUUAAAGGCAGGCUGGUAGAUUACAAGUUGUUGUUUGGUUCUAUAUGUUAAUUCCAUUCUUUCUUGUCACUUCUGGGAGCAUAUGUUGGGAAAAUUGCAGUAAUGGUUCUCAACAUUUUGCUCGAGAAGCAA